rnacentral:rRNA from 1 species
UACGAAGGGGGCUAGCGUUGUUCGGAAUUACUGGGCGUAAAGGGCGCGUAGGCGGUGCCUCAAGUCAGGCGUGAAAGCCCCGGGCUCAACCUGGGAACCGCGCUUGAGACUGGAGUACUAGAGUUCGGGAGAGGAUGGUGGAAUUCCCAGUGUAGAGGUGAAAUUCGUAGAUAUUGGGGAAGAACACCGAUGGCGAAAGG